GGCUUGAUAGCUCAGUUGGUAGAGCGCCUGCUUAACACUUGUUGUUAUGCGCAGAAGGUCGCAGGUUCGAGCCCUGCUCAGGUCA